rnacentral:rRNA from 1 species
CAAUAGCGUAUAUUAAAGUUGUUGCGGUUAAAAAGCUCGUAGUUGGAUUUCUGCUGAGGAUGACCGGUCCGCCCUCUGGGCAGGUAUCUGGCUCAGCCUUGGCAUCUUCCUGAAGAACGCAGCUGCACUUGACUGUGUGGUGCGGUAUUUAGGACAUUUACUUUGAGGAAAUUAGAGUGUUUCAAGCAAGCGCACGCCUUGAAUACAUUAGCAUGGAAUAAUAAGAUAGGACCUCGGUUCUAUUUUGUUGGUUUCUAGAACUGAGGUAAUGAUUGAUAGGGAUAGUUGGGGGCAUUCGUAUUUAACUGUCAGAGGGGAAAUUCUUGGAUUUGUUAAAGACGGACUACUGCGAAAGCAUUUGCCAAGGAUGUUUUCAUUGA